CUGGUGGUUUUUUAGUGAACUGCAACAAAGCUGCUAAUUGUCAGCAAAGCAGAAACACCUGAGCUGGACCACACCAGAGCAGCUUCUGAGCUCCACGCUGCACACCAGGUUUAUUUUUUAUUUUUAUUUUUUUGUUUGUUUAUAUGAAAAAAACACCUCUUUGAUUUAAAGGAGGAGGACUUUUUGGUGCCUGUCAAGAUCUUGACUGAUCUAAAUUUUUUUGGACUGUGUGGAAAAAAACACUGAUGAAGAUGAGGACCGCGUCAGGGGACCAGGCUGGCAGUUGGCUGGCGUGUCCCUGGCUGGGCCUCCAGCCGUCUGUCUAUCUCGUCUGUCUGUCAGCGGUUUAAAGGACACUCUUUGAUGGGUCCAGUCUGUGGGAAGUCCAACUUUGCAGUUCAUUCAGAGUCUCCAACAUUGUUCCCUUCGAACAGACAUGGAAGUGUGAGCAAAGUCCUUAAACCUGAUCCACAUCAGGCUUGGAGGAACACCUGCCUUCAGAGAGGCAGAGAUGAAGCUCUGACUCACACUGCAGACUGCAGUGACAGAACCUCACCGGCUCUUCGGUCAUCCAAUCUGUCUCAAGGCUCAACAGCCGGACUGAUAACGUUAAUCAUCAGAGCUAUCUUGAGCGAUGCGGCUGUCCGUUAGCGCGAUGAGACCUUGCAGUAGUGCUUGGCCUUCAGGCGGAGGUCCUGUGGAGAGGAGGCAGCAGGCGGGGAAGUGACACCAUGCACUGAUUAAGCAGUGCAGACCUUAGCAAUAAGACUUUCGCUGAGUAAGCAGGUAGCUGCAGAUAAGGCUUUUGAUUAAAACAGAAUCUGCAUAAAAUUAGAGUGACACUUGUUCAUUUGGAGAAAAAGCAAAAAAAGAAACGGGAAAUAAAAUGUAUAAUUUUAGGGUUUUUUUAAGUUUUUAUAUUGUUUGUCUGUCCAAAGUUAUUUUAUCAUUUUUUUCUUACUUUU